rnacentral:rRNA from 1 species
AUACGGAGGAUCCGAGCGUUAUCCGGAUUUAUUGGGUUUAAAGGGUGCGUAGGCGGUUUGCUAAGCGGGAGGUGAAAUGCCGGCGCUCAACGUCGGAAGUGCCUCCCGAACUGGUGGACUGGAAUGACUCUGCCGUGGGAGGAAUGUGUAGUGUAGCGGUGAAAUGCUUAGAGAUUACACAGAACACCGAUUGCGAAGGCAUCUCACGAAGGGUUGAUUGACGCUGAGGCACGAAAGCGUGGGGAUCAAACAGGAUUAGAUACCCUGGUAGUCCACGCAGUAAACGAUGAUGGCUAACCGCUGGUUUAUUCGGAUCAGUGGCCAAGCGAAAGCGAUAAGCCAUCCACCUGGGGAGUACGACCGCAAGGUUGAAACUCAAAUGAAUUGGCGGGG